UCUUUUCAGGAUGAGGAUCAAAUGGGAAUCGGGUGUAAGUCCCGUACAGUUCCCGCUGCUGUAAGCCCGGUAUGUUUCCGGAACUCCAAGCCACUGGCAUUCAGGCCGGGAAGGCUUCCGGAUAGGGCGAAGUCAGAAGACCUGCCUUGCGUUUAG
rnacentral:ncRNA from 1 species